UACAUGUGGGGCAAGCGUUGUUCGGAAUUAUUGGGCGUAAAGAGCGCGUAGGCGGUCCGAUAAGUCGGCUGUGAAAAGUCAGGGGGCUCAACCCUUGAAAAGCCGGCCGAUACUGUCGGACUAGAGUCCGGAAGAGGCAAGUGGAAUUCCCCGGUGUAGCGGUGAAAAUGCGCAGAUAUCGGGGAGGAAACACCCAAAUUUGCGAAAGGCAGCUUGCUGGGGACGGUACUGACGCUGAGGGCGCGAAAAGCGUGGGGGGAGCAAAACAGGG
rnacentral:rRNA from 1 species